rnacentral:rRNA from 1 species
GGAUGCGAUCAUACCAGCACUAAUGCACCGGAUCCAUCAGAACUCCGAAGUUAAGCGUGCUUGGCGAGAGUAGUACUAGGAUGGGUGACCCCUGGGAAGUCCUCGUGUUGCAUCCC